rnacentral:rRNA from 1 species
AGUGAACGCUGGCGGUGGGCCUAACACAUGCAAGUCGAACGGCAGCACAGUAAGAGCUUGCUCUUACGGGUGGCGAGUGGCGGACGGGUGAGGAAUACAUCAGAAUCUACUUUUUCGUGGGGGAUAACGUAGGGAAACUUACGCUAAUACCGCAUACGACCUACGGGUGAAAGCAGGGGAUCUUCGGACCUCGCGCGAUUGAAUGAGCCGAUGUCGGAUUAGCUAGUUGGCGGGGUAAAGGCCCACCAAGGCGACGAUCCGUAGCUGGUCUGAGAGGAUGAUCAGCCACACUGGAACUGAGACACGGUCCAGACUCCUACGGGAGGCAGCAGUGGGGAAUAUUGGACAAUGGGCGCAAGCCUGAUCCAGCCAUACCGCGUGGGUGAAGAAGGCCUUCGGGUUGUAAAGCCCUUUUGUUGGGAAAGAAAAGCAGCAGGUUAAUACCCCGCUGUUCUGACGGUACCCAAAGAAUAAGCACCGGCUAACUUCGUG